UACGAAGGGGGCUAGCGUUGUUCGGAAUCACUGGGCGUAAAGCGCACGUAGGCGGAUUGCUAAGUCAGGGGUGAAAUCCUGGAGCUCAACUCCAGAACUGCCUUUGAUACUGGCGAUCUUGAGUCCGGGAGAGGUGAGUGGAACUCCGAGUGUAGAGGUGAAAUUCGUAGAUAUUCGGAAGAACACCAGUGGCGAAGGCGGCUCACUGGCCCGGUACUGACGCUGAGGUGCGAAAGCGUGGGGAGCAAACAGG
rnacentral:rRNA from 1 species